GCNCAGCCUAACACAUGCAAGUCGAACGGUAGCACAGAGAGCUUGCUCUUGGGUGACGAGUGGCGGACGGGUGAGUAAUGUCUGGGAAACUGCCCGAUGGAGGGGGAUAACUACUGGAAACGGUAGCUAAUACCGCAUAACGUCUUCGGACCAAAGUGGGGGACCUUCGUGGCCUCACACCAUACGGAUGUAGCCACAGAUGGGAUUUACGCCUAAAGAUAGGUUGGNGUGUAAUUGUGGCAUACACCCUAAGGGGCAGAACGAAUNCCCCUAGCUGGGUCUUGAGAAGGGAUUAGACCCAAGGCCCAACACUUUG
rnacentral:rRNA from 1 species